rnacentral:rRNA from 1 species
CCUACGGGAGGCUGCAGUGGGGAAUAUUGCGCAAUGGGGGCAACCCUGACGCAGCAACGCCGCGUGAUUGAAGAAGGCCUUCGGGUUGUAAAGAUCUUUAAUCGGGGACGAAUUUUGACGGUACCCGAAGAAUAAGCUCCGGCUAACUACGUGCCAGCAGCCGCGGUAAUACGUAGGUGGCAAGCGUUGUCCGGAUUUACUGGGUGUAAAGGGCGUGUAGCCGGGUUGACAAGUCAGAUGUGAAAUCCUGCGGCUUAACCGCAGAACUGCAUUUGAAACUGUGGAUCUUGAGUACUGGAGAGGCAGACGGAAUUCCUGGUGUAGCGGUGAAAUGCGUAGAUAUUAGGAGGAACACCAGUGGCGAAGGCGGUCUGCUGGACAGCAACUGACGGUGAGGCGCGAAAGCGUGGGGAGCAAACAGGAUUAGAUACCCUAGUAGUC